CACCAAGUCUGGCCAGAAUUUCUUUAUUCCUAGUAAAUGGUAAUAUGGCAACAGAGACAGACUAGACGCUGUCCAAUCCCAUUUCCUCUUCCUAGACAGAGGAAGACCACAUUUCCCAUCCUCUUUGUAGUCACAUUAGAACCACAUGGCUAGCCAAUAAACACGCAGACGUGGUAUCCACCACAGCCUGGUUCGGCCAUAAAUCGCUUCACGGUCAUCCAUUCACUCUCUCUCCCACAGACCUUGGAUGCCGUGUGUGGAAGAUGACAGCAUCACCAACUGGAGGGUGCCUGGAUCCCUGAGUCACCAUUUGAAGGGAAAAGGUCAAGAGUAGCCACCUGACCCAUAUCAGGCUAUGAAAUGAGCAAGAAAGAAAGAUUCUGUGAAGCCACAUUUUCAUCCAUGUAGAAAAUGACACGAGGCUUUCGAACCAAGAGCUGGAGGAACCUGGAGGCAAAAGCUGAGGCUGUCAGCUGCCCAGCAGUUAACACCCUGAGACCAUCUUCCCACUUCCAACACCCACAGAAGCUGCCUCCCAAGGGCUCCGGUGUCCCCGCGUGGCCCACCUCAGCAGUAUGAUGCAGCACUGGGGAAGUGACAGAAUGUGAAAAAAACUAUUAUAGCUGAGAUAUUUUAAAAUUCCGCCCUCCAGGCAGCAUCUGGUUGCUACAGCAACCCCAGCUCUGCAGGGUGUCCCGAUUACCAGCAGGCUCCCUGCACCUGCCUCAGGCUGAGAGCAGGCGGCUGCCGCCAAGGGGAACACCAAGGAAAUGCCCAUGUUCUGAUUCCAAGGUAAUGGCUCAGACCCAAGGGGAUUUUUAUCUGUUCAACGUGAAACCUGAUGAAGUUUUGUCCCAUGUUAAUAAUUUCAUUAAAAAUAUGGCCUUACCUCCUA